CAAGAUGGCGGCCGCCGAGAGGGUUCACAAAGGCUCUGGUCCAUUAGAGGAAGGAGGUCCCAGAAUAGCUGGGAAAUUACGAGAACAGCCUCACUGCACGAGUUGGUGAAUGCUGUGGUGCGAUUGUAUGAUGGACGGUGAUGUUGAAACCAGACUGGGGAAUGACCGCCCCAUCCGGAGAGAAAAGCACCAAGGAUUCUCUUUUGUUGAAUUUGAGUUGGCAGAGGAUGUUGCAGCAGCUGUCAACAACAUGGUAUGGCUGAGCAUCUUUGUUUUUUACUGAAGCUGUUAUUUGGUGCUACUUUUUGGUAUAGGGAACGCCCAUGUACCUAUUGUGUUUCCAAUUUCCAUAGUUUCAAAGUUCUGUAGCAAGCACAGGUCAUCGUUAUUUGAAAU
rnacentral:lncRNA from 1 species